AGCAAUAUUUACCCAGAAAAGAACUAACCCAAUUCCCAAAUCUUCCGCUUAAAUUUCCUCUUUUCUACCUCAAAUUCGUACAGCAAUAGCGUGCUUGGCAUGAGACCAAACACACGCGGAGCUUCCGGAGGCGACCAUGGUAUGGUCAUGUAAAAUUUCUUUGUUUCUUUUGAAUUUCAUUUCAUAUUUGUACGAUUCGACCUCACUGGAGUCUGAGCCUCUAAGAAAAAUUUUCAAAAUAUUGGCUUCUCUCACAUAGAAAGUAUUCUCAGAAUUUGGAGGUUUUGGGUGCUAUAAAAGCCCCUCUCCUCACUGUUCAAGCGAGGUUUUUGGACUCGAGAGUAGUACCCCUAUAAUGUUUGGGACUUCUCAGUUCAAUAAUUUAAAGUUUUGUGGUUGUUCGAGUUGAAGAGGUGGAAUCGUUUCUAUUCAAACUCGUUGUUCGGUUCGCUGCUUGGAGCUAGUGGCAUCCGAAUGAGUCCGAUGGACUCCCCUCUCUUGCAUUUCCCUCUUCUUCAAGUUGACCUCCAUUCGAGUUACGAAAGGGAAGCAUUAAUUAAUGGGUCAAAACCCAAUCAGUGGCAGCAACUAAGUGGCGCAGUAAUAAAAAUUCAAAUGGCUGGAAAUUGAAUUUUGGAUUUAAGAAUCCAAUUUGAUUAUUGCAGUAGUAGCAGCAGACCCAAGGGGACUUAAAUUGAAUCUUUGGACUUAAAUAAUUCCUACUUGAGUAAUCAGCAGCAGCAGGAGGAACCAGAAAGGGGCCAAAAUGCCCUUUUCAUCCGGUUACUUUAUUUCAUUGUUUUUUUUACUUUAUUUGUGAAUAUAUCUUGGUAAUCACUAACUUUUAAUAUUUUAUUUUUGUCAACUUAAAUGAAUCCUUGGAGAAGUUUUUCUA